UAACAAGGGAAAAGAAAUAGUUACAUAAAAUAUUUACAAGGCUUUGGUAGUGGGAACACGGUGUGAUUCCGUGACUGUGCCGCAACGGUAAUAGUCCGACACCACCCAAUAGUCUAAGAACCCCG
rnacentral:ncRNA from 32 species